rnacentral:lncRNA from 1 species
AUCAGCUACACACCCUUCCUCAGUUAAUUCCAUUCAGCUACACAGAGCCUUCCCUCAGGUAAUCCAUUCAGCUACACACAGCCUUCCCUCAGGUUAAUUCCAUUCAGCUACACAGAGCCUUCCCUCAGGUAAUCAUUCAGCUACCACAGCUUCCCUCAGUAAUUCCAUUCAGCUACACAGCACUUCCCUCAGUGUAAUUCCAUUCAGCUACACAGAGCCUUCCCUCAGGGUAAUUCCAUUCAGCUACACACAGCCUUCCCUCAGUGUAAUUCCAUUCAGCUAACACAAGCCUCCCCAGCGUAAUUCCAUUCACUACACACACGCCUUCCUCAGGGUAAUCCAUUCAGCUACACACAGGCCUUCCCUCAGUGUAAUUCCAUUCAGCUACACACAGCCUUCCCUCAGUGUAAUCCAUUCACAGCUACACACGGCCUUCCCCAGGGUAAUUCCACAGCUUACACACAAAGCUUCCCUCGUGUAAUUCCAUUCAGCUACACACAGCCUUCCCUCAGGGUAAUUCCA